CUUUAAGAUAUUUUUUCCUUUGCAUGAGAAAGGAAAUUGCAGGUAUCUAUCUGUAGUCAAUAAAUCAUUGAUUUGAUGACACAUAAUCAAUCAUAGAAAAGGCAAUAAGGCACAACCACGUGAAAUAUAAAACUAAAGCAUUUUAAGAUGAUUCUUGUACAUGAAAUGUAUACAAACUAAUUAACAAAGUGCUUUAUUUUCACAAAAGGUAAAAGGAAUCAGAAUUUAAGACCAACUACCCUACAGUGGACGAUUAGCUGGUGUUGACCUUUGAGUGCAUCAAAUUCUUCCCAAGAACUUCGGAUGCUGUAACAUAUUGGCAUAGUAUAUGUGUGGAUCCAAGCAGUUUGACCUUUUGCACUUGACAGAUGGACAUUUUGUCAAUGUGUGGAUUGUCUAAGGGCCGUCCAAGAUUUUUUGGACAAACUACAUGAAGUGUUCAUGAAGUCACCAGGAUGUGAGAAUGACUCAAAAGAGGCAAUGUUUCAUAUAUUUUCUAAUAUUCAUUCGGAAUGCCAGGAAGCUAGCG